rnacentral:lncRNA from 1 species
AUUGACAGGGUUCAACCUGAGUAAGCUCUUUCAUUACAAAAUAAAUGGUGAAAAUUAUCUUUGAAAAUAAACAAUAAAUAGAGUAUCUAACCCCCAUUUACAAAUAGGUUGCAGAUCCUUAUUUGCAAAAUGAAGGUGGAGGACUGAACAAUUUCUAAGUUCUAACAUUCAUUGAUUCAGUAUAUAUAGAGGCAAGAACAUUCUUUUUUCAAAGUUACCUUGUAAUCUGCUAUCAGAUUAAUUUUCCUAAAAAUACGUUUGUCACAAUUUCACUCUGUCUGAAACAUAGUUUGGCUUCCCAUUUUCCACAGGAUGAAGUACAAUUUCCUGACACUGACAUUCAAGGUCUUCCAGCAUUUUUGAAGAAGACAGUCACUUGCAUUUCACCUAUGAUUGUGUUGUGUCUUGUGAUUAUUCACAUUGAUUUGCAAUGCAUUUUUGUGUCAAAAGAUUGAAGUACUCAGACCAGCAGACAAUUCUCAGACUUUUCCCAAAAUCAAACCACUUUGAGAGCACUGGAAGCUUUCAGGACCCCAUCCUAUCCUGAGAUGCCAGAAUAAAAAGACUCAAUACUCCA